rnacentral:rRNA from 1 species
ACUUAAAUUGAAGAGUUUGAUCAUGGCUCAGAUUGAACGCUGGCGGCAGGCCUAACACAUGCAAGUCGAGCGGUAGCACAGAGAGCUUGCUCUCGGGUGACGAGCGGCGGACGGGUGAGUAAUGUCUGGGAAACUGCCUGAUGGAGGGGGAUAACUACUGGAAACGGUAGCUAAUACCGCAUAAUGUCGCAAGACCAAAGUGGGGGACCUUCGGGCCUCAUGCCAUCAGAUGUGCCCAGAUGGGAUUAGCUAGUAGGUGGGGUAACGGCUCACCUAGGCGACGAUCCCUAGCUGGUCUGAGAGGAUGACCAGCCACACUGGAACUGAGACACGGUCCAGACUCCUACGGGAGGCAGCAGUGGGGAAUAUUGCACAAUGGGCGCAAGCCUGAUGCAGCCAUGCCGCGUGUGUGAAGAAGGCCUUCGGGUUGUAAAGCACUUUCAGCGGGGAGGAAGGCGGUGAGGUUAAUAACCUCACCGAUUGACGUUACCCGCAGAAGAAGCACCGGCUAACUCCGUGCCAGCAGCCGCGGUAAUACGGAGGGUGCAAGCGUUAAUCGGAAUUACUGGGCGUAAAGCGCACGCAGGCGGUCUGUCAAGUCGGAUGUGAAAUCCCCGGGCUUAACCUGGGAACUGCAUUCGAAACUGGCAGGCUAGAGUCUUGUAGAGGGGGGUAGAAUUCCAGGUGUAGCGGUGAAAUGCGUAGAGAUCUGGAGGAAUACCGGUGGCGAAGGCGGCCCCCUGGACAAAGACUGACGCUCAGGUGCGAAAGCGUGGGGAGCAAACAGGAUUAGAUACCCUGGUAGUCCACGCCGUAAACGAUGUCGAUUUGGAGGUUGUGCCCUUGAGGCGUGGCUUCCGGAGCUAACGCGUUAAAUCGACCGCCUGGGGAGUACGGCCGCAAGGUUAAAACUCAAAUGAAUUGACGGGGGCCCGCACAAGCGGUGGAGCAUGUGGUUUAAUUCGAUGCAACGCGAAGAACCUUACCUGGUCUUGACAUCCACAGAACUUUCCAGAGAUGGAUUGGUGCCUUCGGGAACUGUGAGACAGGUGCUGCAUGGCUGUCGUCAGCUCGUGUUGUGAAAUGUUGGGUUAAGUCCCGCAACGAGCGCAACCCUUAUCCUUUGUUGCCAGCGGUUCGGCCGGGAACUCAAAGGAGACUGCCAGUGAUAAACUGGAGGAAGGUGGGGAUGACGUCAAGUCAUCAUGGCCCUUACGACCAGGGCUACACACGUGCUACAAUGGCAUAUACAAAGAGAAGCGACCUCGCGAGAGCAAGCGGACCUCAUAAAGUAUGUCGUAGUCCGGAUUGGAGUCUGCAACUCGACUCCAUGAAGUCGGAAUCGCUAGUAAUCGUAGAUCAGAAUGCUACGGUGAAUACGUUCCCGGGCCUUGUACACACCGCCCGUCACACCAUGGGAGUGGGUUGCAAAAGAAGUAGGUAGCUUAACCUUCGGGAGGGCGCUUACCACUUUGUGAUUCAUGACUGGGGUGAAGUCGUAACAAGGUAACCGUAGGGGAACCUGCGGUUGGAUCACCUCCUUACCUUAAAGAA